AGAUAUUUGCACUUGAAACUCAAAGUCACUUGGUGAGAUUUAGUUUUUUUUUAAGUGUAAACAACAGCUGAUUCCACAUGAUGAUAACCAAAGCUAGCAAAACCACUAUUUUUUAAUUAUAUAAGCAUUUUAAGACAAAAAAACCCAAACUGCCUCAGGGUGAAAAACUUAUUACAUCUGCUCUUAAAUUGGGAAUUAUCUGUCAUUAUAAUUAUUAUGUUUUCUUGAGCAGGUUAGGAGAGGUUUACAGGCUAUACUAAACCUGUUCACUACAUUUUUUUUUUUACCUAAAAUUGGAAAUCAUUAUUACAUAACGGAAAUCAUAGAGUAGAUCUUUGAAAAGCAGAAAUAAAGCCUCCUGCACGACUAACAAGUGGUUUCUGAAUAAUAAGUCAACAACUCUUUUACAUUCUAUUCUAUUCUAUGCAGCACAUACAGUGGUAAAACCAGCUGACCAGACAUGCUGGGCAUUUGCUUGGGUUGCUAGGUAACAGGGCAGUGCCUGCCAAAUGUGACUUAAUUUUCAGGAGGUUUUUUUGAAACAG